rnacentral:rRNA from 1 species
UACGUAGGGUGCGAGCGUUAAUCGGAAUUACUGGGCGUAAAGCGUGCGCAGGCGGUUUUGUAAGCCAGAUGUGAAAGCCCCGGGCUCAACCUGGGAAUGGCAUUUGGGACUGCAAGGCUGGAGUAUGGCAGAGGAGACUAGAAUUCCUGGUGUAGCAGUGAAAUGCGUAGAUAUCAGGAGGAAUACCGAUGGCGAAGGCAGGUCUCCGGGCCAACACUGACGCUCAGGCACGAAAGCGUGGGGAGCAAACAGG